rnacentral:misc_RNA from 1 species
UAGCUCGUUGACCCAUUUAACGAAAGCGUCGCGUCAUCCCGGCUCGUGAGGGCAAGAACAAAGUUUUGCUGAACAAGGUUUCUGUUCAAACAAAAUGGUUUCAGUUGAAAUUUCGCCAGAGUAUGGCUACGUUAUUUUAGUAUUUGUUGCAACAAUUUUCCUGAACUUUUGGCUUGGAAUUAACGUUGGCAAAGCGAGGAAAAAACACGAAGUACCUCUUCCACAGAUGUACAGUGACAGAGACCAGAAGUUUAACUGCAUUCAAAGGGCACACCAGAACAUGUUAGAGAGUUAUCCCUAUGUACUGGUGUUACUGCUCCUGGGAGGCAUUAAACAGCCAGUUAUUGCUGCAGCUGCAGGGUCCAUCUGGAUUGUUGGCAGAGUGUUGUAUGCCUUGGGAUACUAUACUGGGGAUCCAGCAAAGAGAAGCCGUGGAGCAAUUGGUUACAUUGGAUUGUUGGCACUUCUGGGUUGUACUGUUCAUCUUGCCUUAUCACUGCUUGGUAUUGCAUAAAUUAUGGGUCAGCUGUCCAGGUGUACUUGAGUAUGAACUACAUACAACUGUAGUUAUUAGAUAAUGGAAAACAUAAUGAAGUACUAUCCAAGAUUGUUUUUUAUAUUUUAGACAGAAUAUAACACAAUGUUAUUCUUUUUUAAUUUUGAAAGUGGUGUUAUGUAGCAUUUUGAUGCAGAAUAAUACAAUUAAGGGUUUUUAUAGCUUCCUUUUUUCUUUAUUCUUCUAAGCCAUCAGCUUACCAAUUUCCAAUUUUAAAUACUUACAAAUGUGUGUACCAUAAUUUUCUUUACUCUGUUAAAAGAUUUGUGCAUUCCUUAAAUUUUCCUUUUGUGUAAAAUGCAUUUUUAAACUAUGAACAAUAAUUAAAAAGGAUGGAACAUGUCUUUGACCACACUGGGAGCUACAAAAAAAAAAAAAGAAAUUAUGACAGUAGCCAUCUUUUAUUAUAGCCUUUGAAGUAAUUGUUUCAUUUUCUUUUAUACUUACAUUUUAUAUAAUUUGUGUAGAAAAUGAAAAUAAAAAUUUCUCCUGAUAUGCACGGUUAGUAUUCUGAACUUCAGAUCAGAUGCAUGCCAUUUCUUCAUUUUUGGAUCUCCAUAUGUGCACUCCAAUCAUUCCAGUAGCAGGCAUAUUGUGGGAAUUUGAAAUUGAAAAAGCAGGCCUGCACUAAGUCUGAGACUCAGACCAAGAGCUAGAUACCUGGUUGUAAAUUCUUCAGAUAUGUAUGAACUUGGCUGAAAGCAGAUAUUUUGUGUUAUUACCCAACUUGUGCAUUUGAAGCUGUUUUAACAAUCAUUAAAAAUUAUAAAAGCAUGCUCUUUAGCUUCAGUAUUAGUAUGUCUACCUCACAGUGUUAGGCUCCUCACAGGGUAGUACUAAUCAAGUGUGUUUUAAGGACGUAUUGAUAGAAGCACAAAUUAAUUGAAAAUUUUUAGAAAACAUAACUUGUAAACAUUAUCUAGAUGCAUUUUGUAUACUUGUUAUCAUUCUAUAUUGAUUAGGCUACCUUCAGGUAACAGCCAUGUCAUGUAUUAAGCACUGAUAAGUGCUGUACAGUGGUUAUAAUGCCAUUUGUCUUCUGUGUGACAAAUAAAAAGUAUAAAAAAGUA